CAGUAGCCACGGGAAUACGGAGGGUGCGAGCGUUAACCGGAAUAACUGGGCGUAAAGGGCACGCAGGCGGUGACUUAAGUGAGGUGUGAAAGCCCCGGGCUUAACCUGGGAAUUGCAUUUCAUACUGGGUCGCUAGAGUACUUUAGGGAGGGGUAGAAUUCCACGUGUAGCGGUGAAAUGCGUUGAGAUCGGAAAGAACACCAACGGCGAAAGCACUCUGCUGGGCCGACACUGACACUGAGAGACAAAAGCUAGGGGAGCAAAUGGGAUUAGAUACCCCCGUAGUCCCUGUCUCUUAUAC
rnacentral:rRNA from 1 species